rnacentral:rRNA from 1 species
CGACGUGGGUAACCUGCCUCAUACAGGGGGAUAACAGUUAGAAAUGACUGCUGAUACCGCAUAAGCGCACAGUGCUGCAUGGCACAGUGUGAAAAACUCCGGUGGUAUGAGAUGGACUCGCGUCUGAUUAGCUAGUUGGUGGGGUAACGGCCUACCAAGGCGACGAUCAGUAGCCGGCCUGAGAGGGUGACCGGCCACAUUGGGACUGAGACACGGCCCAA